rnacentral:lncRNA from 1 species
CUCUCCCCGCCCGGAUUAGUGGCAGCUUGGCCUGACUCUCCGGGGCUCCUUCCCCCGCCCCCGCCUGCUGCCCUCCCCUGGGCCGGGGGCUGCUCCGCCCGGGGGGCACUGUGCUUGCCCAGGGUGCUGGAGGAGGAAACCGGCGGAGCAGCUUCCCCACUCUCAGUUGCGCUUCUGGCGAUGGCGAUCAGAGGUCCUGCUGCGCUCUCCGCCGCGCUCUACCUCCAUUAGCCGCGCUGCGCGGUGCUGCGCCCUCGCCGGUGCCUCUCUCCUGGGUCCCAGGAUCGGCCCCCACCAUCCAGGCACGACCCCCUUCCCCGGCCCCUCGGCCUUUCCCCCAACUCGGCCAUCUCCGACCCGGGGCGCGUGUUCCCCCCGGCCCGGCGCCUUCUCUCCCUCCGGGGGCACCCGCUCCCUAGCCCCGGCCCGGCCCUCCCCGCGGCGCAGCACGGAGUCUCGGCGUCCCAUGGCGCAACCUACGGCCUCGGCCCAGAAGCUGGUGCGGCCGAUCCGCGCCGUGUGCCGCAUCCUGCAGAUCCCGGAGUCCGACCCCUCCAACCUGCGGCCCUAGAGCGCCCCCGCCGCCCCGGGGGAAGGAGAGCGCGAGCGCGCUGAGCAGACAGAGCGGGAGAACGCGUCCUCGCCCGCCGGCCGGGAGGCCCCGGAGCUGGCCCAUGGGGAGCAGGCGCCCGGUGCCGGCCACG